GUGGGGAAUUUUCCGCAAUGGGCGCAAGCCUGACGGAGCAAGACCGCGUGCGGGAGGACGGCCUAUUGGUUGUAAACCGCUUUUGAUAGGGAAGAAGUUCUGACGGUACCUAUCGAAUCAGCAUCGGCUAACUCCGUGCCAGCAGCCGCGGUAAUACGGAGGAUGCAAGCGUUAUCCGGAAUUAUUGGGCGUAAAGCGUCCGUAGGUGGUUGUUCAAGUCUGCUGUUAAAGCGUGCGGCUUAACCGCAUACUAGCAGUGGAAACUGGGCGACUAGAGUGCGGUAGGGGUCAGGGGAAUUCCCAGUGUAGCGGUGAAAUGCGUAGAUAUUGGGAAGAACACCGGUGGCGAAAGCGCCUGACUGGACCUGCAC
rnacentral:rRNA from 1 species